UACGGAGGGUGCGAGCGUUGUCCGGAAUUACUGGGCGUAAAGGGCGCGUAGGCGGCCUUCUAAGUCGAACGUGAAAUCCCCGGGCUCAACCCGGGAACUGCGUCCGAUACUGGAAGGCUUGAAUCCGGGAGAGGGAUGCGGAAUUCCAGGUGUAGCGGUGAAAUGCGUAGAUAUCUGGAGGAACACCGGUGGCGAAGGCGGCAUCCUGGACCGGCAUUGACGCUGAGGCGCGAAAGCCAGGGGAGCAAACGGG
rnacentral:rRNA from 1 species